UUGCGUACAAUCAGUCAUUUCACUUAUGAAAUGGUCAAUGACCAGAGCGAAACCGCCAGGGAUGGCGGUUUCAGGGAGCGCAGGACAGGAUGUCCGUUGCUCCCGGCUCGUCCGGCUGGCUGCCAUCUACCCAUUUCAUUAGUGAAAUCUGAUUGGAAGCUC
rfam:Lachnospiraceae bacterium 28-4 genomic scaffold acPFn-supercont1.1, whole genome shotgun sequence.